rnacentral:rRNA from 1 species
AAAGAAACCAACAGGGAUUGCCCCAGUAACGGCGAGUGAAGCGGCAAGAGCUCAAAUUUGAAAGCUGGCUCCUUCGGGGUCCGCAUUGUAAUUUGUAGAGGAUGCUUCGGGAGCGGUCCCCAUCUAAGUGCCCUGGAACGGGACGUCAUAGAGGGUGAGAAUCCCGUAUGGGAUGGGGUGUCCGCGCCCGUGUGAAGCUCCUUCGACGAGUCGAGUUGUUUGGGAAUGCAGCUCUAAAUGGGUGGUAAAUUUCAUCUAAAGCUAAAUAUUGGCCGGAGACCGAUAGCGCACAAGUAGAGUGAUCGAAAGAUGAAAAGCACUUUGAAAAGAGAGUUAAAAAGCACGUGAAAUUGUUGAAAGGGAAGCGCUUGCGACCAGACUCGCUCGCGGGGUUCAGCCGGCAUUCGUGCCGGUGUACUUCCCCGCGGGCGGGCCAGCGUCGGUUUGGGCGGUCGGUCAAAGGCCCUCGGAAGGUAACGCCCCUAGGGGCGUCUUAUAGCCGAGGGUGCAAUGCGACCUGCCUAGACCGAGGAACGCGCUCGGCUCGACG